CAGCCGCCGCGGGAAUACGGAGGGCGCGAGCGUUACCCGGAUUUACUGGGCGUAAAGGGCGUGUAGGCGGCCUGGGGCGUCCCAUGUGAAAGGCCACGGCUCAACCGUGGAGGAGCGUGGGAUACGCUCAGGCUAGAGGGUGGGAGAGGGUGGUGGAAUUCCCGGAGUAGCGGUGAAAUGCGCAGAUACCGGGAGGAACGCCGAUGGCGAAGGCAGCCACCUGGUCCACUUCUGACGCUGAGGCGCGAAAGCGUGGGGAGCAAACCGGAUUAGAUACCCAGUAGUCCCUGUCUCUUAUACA
rnacentral:rRNA from 1 species